AGAGUUUUGCAAAUCUGACUUCCUGGGAUGCUGCAAGCAGUACAGUCUGGAUUUUAGACCUAUAUUCUACAGCAGGGCCAAGAGAAAGUCAAGCUUUUGAACACCAUCUGCUGCCUUGGGUCCCAGCUGAAAACUUGUCCUGGUCAUUAAUACCUCACCCUCCAUGGCUGCUCGUGGCUCCUCCACUCAGAUUAACAGAAGACAGUCCAAGGCAUACCCAUGGCUUUACAAAAUGUGCAUGGAAACCAUACACUGGAGCUGGGUCACCAGUUUAUCAGCCGGGCUCUGACUGCAGGUCUGAGGGUUCUCUGGAAUGAUCUCAAGCCAUUGUACAGCGACAGCUCUGAGUGGCCACAUAGGGCUGCAUUUGAACCUCUGACCCAGGAACAAAAUAAAUUACGUGUAGACUGAGGUAUGGAUAUGGGACAAUUCCAGUUUCUCAUGUUUCAAAGGAAUAAAAUGGUGCCUGUAGACAGUGGCUGCUCUUCUCUUCCCAUCUCACCUAUGCAUUCUCCUGAGCAGCCAUCUUUCAGAUGCAUGGCACAUUCUGGAUAUCAGCUCAAAUGAAAUUUUGGGGAGAACCUUUAUUAUUGACUUCAGACAGGAAAACCACACCCUGGUAGAGGACAAGGCCAACAGUGCUAGCAGGUCUGUUCCCACCAAAGGGCUGAUGGUGCUUGCAUGGUGCAGAAACAUUUUGAAUUUUCUCUCGACUUCUUGAGAGAAUUAUUAGAUUGGCUAGUUUGAUAAAUUCAGGCAGACUGCUUGGUCUU